ensembl:lincRNA
AUGGUCCUUCUUCAGGCUAUCUGGCUGCUGGUGAAAGAGACGUAAGUCAGCUAAUAAUAAUGUCUUCCUGCAAGAUCCAAAUUAUCUGCAUAAAGAUGAGACUCGAGACAUCUGGGCAGUUGCUCCUCCUGUCACCUUAGAUUCUGUGGAUGGAGCCGGUGGCAUUUCCUCCUGAAGACACACCAGGCUCUAACCUGGAGGCUGCUCAGCCUUUUGUUCUCACCGAGACUGAAGACAGAUUUACCAGAUGUGCUGUGAUGGAGAAAGUGGUUGGAAAGAGGCUGACACUUAGUUUAGAUGUCACUGUGCCUUUCUAUCCCAGUUUGAUGGUUUACAGUUCAAUGUAGUAUCCGGUCCAGUCAUCCUCAUUGGAUGAAAUGAUAAAACCAAUGUAUUGGGAAGGAAAGAGCUGACAUCGCCACAGAGGGUUUCAAGGUUGGACCCGCUUGCCAACUUUUCUCUUCCAGAAGAAAACACUAAGAGAUUUGAGGACUUAUUGGAAGCUUUGAAGUUUCCCCAGAAAGAACCAGGAAACAACUUCCUGUCCAUAUUUGGAAGAGACUUCCUGUCUCCUGGGAAGGUCUGGGUAAAUAGUAUGGAACUAUACUUCUUGGUUUUCCCUAGACCCCUAGAUUGUCCCUUGGGAAAGGAGAAAUAAUGGGAGAAGUGCCUGGUGCAAUCAGGAGUCAUUGACCAAUCUGGGGUUAGGGCGCUGUCUAGAAAACUAAGGGUCUCCUUCCCUCUGCCUCUCAGGUCUUAUGCUGAGGCUUGGCAGGCCCUGAAGGCACUUGUGUAGUGUCUCUCUCUCCUCUCUUUCUUCAAGACAGGGUUUCUCUGUGUAGCCCUGGCUGUCCUGGAACUUGCUUUGUAGACCAGGCUGGUCACAAACAUACAGAGAUCCAUCUACCUCUCGAGUACUGGGAUUAAAGGCGUGGCCACCACGACAGCCCCUUGUGCAGCCUCUAAGCAUCCUGGUUUAGAUGAGCUACACUUGCACAGGCAUGCCAGGCCAGCUGAGACAAGUUGUUCCUUUGCUUCCACUCUGCAAACCCCCGCCGUCACUCUCUUUGGUGGGUGGCUUAGUCAGGCGCGCUUGUGGGUCUCAUGGUUCAUAAAUCACUCACUAUUCACUUGGCUCUUCAGAAAACCAGCGAACCACUUAAGGCUCCUGGUUGGCUCUUCAUUCUGUUCCCACCAGAACCUCUUCAAGGUUCAGGGAUUGGUAGUAUACUUUACAUCUUUUAUUUUCCUUUUCUGUCUGUCUGUCUAUCUGUCUGUCUGUCUGUCUUUGUUUAUUUUUAUUGAGUCAGAUUCUCAUCAUGUAGCUCAGGCCUACAACUUACUACGUACUCCACGUUGGUCUCAAACUGGUGCUUAUCCUGCGUCAGCCAACCACGUGCCGGGUGGCAGAUGUGUGCCAGCAGGCCCUGCUGAAAGUGUUCCUUUCAUAGCCAACUUCGGAUAUACCCAUGUAUAACAUGCUUGUCAAGUAAAUAUCACACUGGGAUCAUAAAGACGUAAGUCAUUGUUGGCCUUAGCUGAGAAAACAAGUGUCUCCCAGGUCCUAGAUGUUUUGAGGAAACUUGGUCAAACUCCCUGAGGAAUUUUAAUUGAACAGUUUCACCUUAAGUCACCUGGGUCAGAGCAGAGCUCCGCAUCCUGUCUCUGGAACUGGGGGUCUUGUUCCUUUCUUGGUGCUAUUCUAAUGGUAUUUUGCUCUC